GUUCUCCUACGGGAGGCAGCAGUAGGGAAUCUUCCACAAUGGACGAAAGUCUGAUGGAGCAACGCCGCGUGAGUGAAGAAGGGUUUCGGCUCGUAAAGCUCUGUUGGUAGUGAAGAAAGAUAGCGGUAGUAACUGGCCUUUAUUUUACGGUAAUUACUUAGAAAGUCACGGCUAACUACGUGCCCGCAGCCGCGGUAAUACGUAGGUGGCAAGCGUUGUCCGGAUUUAUUGGGCGUAA
rnacentral:rRNA from 1 species